AUUCGUAAUGCUUCAUGGUAUUGUAUUUCAUGGCCUAAUAAAAGACAUUAAUUACACAGACUUGCACCUUUGUCUUUUGUGUCCCGUUUUCAAAUACUUUUUGGCUUUAAAGGGUCAUGAAAUGGAGAAUAAAAUUUUCCUUGAUAUUUAGACAUAUAAGAGGUAACUGUACUAUACCCACGAGACAUUGCUCAUUUGUAUUUUCACAUCCCACAACAUACGUCAUCGCACCCUUGGCCCCGCCCACUGGCGCUCAAUUCGAGAGAGCAGGACAGACAGGCCUUGUGUGGCUAACUAUUCCUGAACACCAAAGGGGACCCAUCUGGACUAUUUUGAAUUAUUAUAUAAACAUGAAGUAUUUGUAUAUUAACAUGAACUACACAGACUCUUUGACAGCUGUCAUGUGUCUUGCCCCUUUUUAAAGACACAGUGUCAAGUUACAACUCUAAAAGUGAGAAGCAAUUUUCUUUCAUUCAUCUGCUGCCUUUUGUUGCUUUGAGCACAAACACAUCAUGGACAUGUUCUUUCGCACAUCUGCGCUAUUUUUAAUUGUUGGUGUAUGUAAACAUAGGACAUCUUUGACGAUGGACGUCUUUGACCAUUUCGGUGUGUUUCUGGCGAUGUGCACCUCAGUGCGCCUUCAGUAUGUGUGUGCGGCAUUUUACUGUGCUUUGGAUUAUGUGUGUGCGUUUUUUUUUUCGGCUCGUCACUUGCGUUGUCCUUAUCUCUAACACUUGUUUCUUGUUGUAGUGAUGGCGGAGGGAGAUAUAAAAAGGCGCACGAGGCGUCAGAGUGACAGAGAGAGAGACUGUACCUGUGUGUGCUCGAUAGAAGCCUUUCCUCGUUUGUGUGUGUGACUACUUGGCCACUGGGUGUCUUUUUGUUUAUUUUUUAUGAACAACGCUGAAGAAUAAUAAACAUACUCACAUUGACAGUUCGCUGCCUCCUGACUCCUUCAUUACCCAGACAACGAACCUUCUACAGGCAGUUAAAAACACUUGGACCCGAUCAAAAACAUAAGUAAACCAUUUCAUUCAAGAAUGAAAACAUUUUAUAACAUUAUCAGUGGACCUCAGGGAAGAUAAUAAAAUAAAAUAAAAAAUAGCACAUCAUGAUCUCUUUAAAUUGUUUGUAAUCUUGUGAUGCACCUCAGAGCUGGUUGGAUUGCUUCAUGGCUAGAACACUUUGUGAAAUACUUUAUGAAAAGCCUAUGGGAAAAUUAAUGGGAAAAAUACUUCUGGAACCAAUGUGGCUGAAAAAAUUAGCAACCCCUGGAACAUCCAAGCAACUACCUGGAACCCAAACACAACCCCCUUGCAUCAUGGCAGUGAGUCUUGUACAGGCAAGUAUUGCUCAAAAUCUUUUCAGAUAAUCUUCAGUAAAAAUCUAGUUUAAAAACUUACUGUGUAAAUAAAAAAAUAUGUGUGAUAUUUGUAUGUAUAAUUAACAAAAUCGUGGUGCCUUUUUGGCUUAAACUAUGUAGGUUGACCAAGUCAAGACCUGUUCAAGAGCCGACAAAGAGCUGGAAAAGAAAAGAAGGCCUUGAGCUCAAAGGUUUGAUCAUCAUGGCAACACUCUUCAGGGAGUAUGAGCCUCCGUGGAACUCCGCCCAGUAAAUACCAUCCUGGUAUCUAUUUCGUUGCAGGUGGGCAUGGAGGAGGAGAAGGGCGGGGGUAGUGAAAAAAGGCGGACAAGACUCUCACUCUCUAACGUACAUUAUGAAACCAAGAGCGACGGAGACACAGACAUAUGUUGAACUGGAUGGAUGCAUCUGAUAGAGGGCUGGGGGAAGUUUUCUCGCAGGAAGUGGAGGGGGAGGAGCGACUCGUGCUGUACAUUAGUCGUAAACUCUUGCUGAGGGAAACUAAGUACAGCACUAUUGAAAAGGAGUGUUUGGAGAUCAAGUGGACUGUCCUCACCCUCCGCUACUACCUGCUGAGUGAUAGCAGGGAGAGACCUGAAAAGCAGCCAAAACAUGCCAGAGAGGAGAAAGAGAAUGAGUGUGCAGCAUUGGCGUCUGUUAUAUUGAGAGUUUGUUAUACUGAGUGUUGUGAAGAAGUUUGUUUAUUUUGAGAGUGAAUUAUUGAACCGAGUGAAAAAUCGGAAAAGAGUGCAUCGGCUGCACGCGAAGGCAAAAAAAAUAAAAGCCUACCUGAAGCGCGUCACUGCUCCCCGUCUGCUCCUUCCAUACCCAAACCUUUAAACUGUGUUACAACUGUAUAUAUGUGUGUGU